rnacentral:lncRNA from 1 species
AAUCAUCCACUCAUAAUAAAAUGAGCUCAGGGUCUUGAGAAAAAAUUUAGUAAUCUCUUUCUCUUCCAAAGGAGGGGUAAUCUGAGCUGCAAGCUCUCUCCAUCUUUGAGCAUACUCCUUAAACGUCUCUUUGUCUUUCUGAGACAACGACCUCAAUUAGUCCCUAUCUAGAGCCAUGUCCAUAUUAUACUUGUACUGCUUCACGAAUGCUUCGCCCAAAUCAUUAAACGUGCGGAUGCUCCCACUAUCUAAUCCC